rnacentral:rRNA from 1 species
AGUGAACGCUGGCGGUAGGCCUAACACAUGCAAGUCGAACGGCAGCACAGUAAGAGCUUGCUCUUACGGGUGGCGACUGGCGGACGGGUGAGGAAUACAUCGGAAUCUACUUUUUCGUGGGGGAUAACGUAGGGAAACUUACGCUAAUACCGCAUACGACCUACGGGUUAAAGCAGUGGAUCUUCGGACCUUGCCCGACUGAAUGAGCCGAUUUCGGAUUAGCUAGGUGGCGGGGUAAAGGCCCACCAAGGCGACGAUCCGUAGCUGGUCUGAGAGGAUGAUCAGCCACACUGGAACUGAGACACGGUCCAGACUCCUACGGGAGGCAGCAGUGGGGAAUAUUGGACAAUGGGCGCAAGCCUGAUCCAGCCAUACCGCGUGGGUGAAGAAGGCCUUCGGGUUGUAAAGCCCUUUUGUUGGGAAAGAAAAGCAGCAGGUUAAUACCCCGAUGUUCUGACGGUACCCAAAGAAUAAGCACCGGCUAACUUCGUG